rnacentral:rRNA from 1 species
AUUGAACGCUGGCGGCAGGCCUAACACAUGCAAGUCGAGCGGAGCGGCGGUCGGGUGAGUCAUGCCUAGGAAUCUGACUGGUAGUGCGGGAUAAUGUCCGGUAACGGGCGCUAAUGCCGCAUACUAUCAUCUGAGCCUAGGUCGGAUUAGCUAGUUGGUGGGGUAAAGGCCUGCAAGGGCGACGACCCGUAACUGGUCUGAGAGCAUGAUCAGUCACACUGGAACGAGGACACGGUCCGGACUCCUACGGGAGGCAGCAGUGGGGAAUGUUGGACAAUGGGCGAAAGCGUGAUCCAGCAAUGCCGCGUGUGUGAAGAAGGUCUUAGGGUUGUAAAGUACUUUCAGCGGGGAGGCGUUACCUGGAGAAGAAGCACCGGCUAACUCCGUGCCAGCAGCCGCGGUAAUUC